UCAAAAUACCUUACAAUCUAAGGAAAAUCCAAAUGCGAGAAAGUUUUCGUAAAAAUUUCAAGAGUCUCUAUCGUAAAAAUUUCUAAAUUCCAGCAGCCAAAUAUUUUAGCCGGGAGAGAAUUGAUUAAUUCAUGGAUGGUUCAUGGGACAAGGAGCGUGAGGUUUGAAUUAACAGAUUCGUUCCCACAAAAGUUUUUUCCCAUAUUUGUUGGGUUUUCUUCUAAAUUAGUGUAUAUGCAUUGAUGGAUAUGAUCGGGUGGUUCCGCUGGUAGCCCGAUAUAAUCUAGUAGUCUGUCGGUGAUCCAAAUUUCCCGUUAAAAAAUAUACAAGAAUUAUGCAUCUUUGUUUCGCCCCUGAGUAACUGAAGAUUAAUGAUUUAAUUGAUGAGAGCAUUGAAUCGGUGUUGCUUGCCCUCCCCGUCUGGUACAACGAACAUUACGCUGAAAUUUGGAUGGACGGCAACCACGAGCAAGAGUGUGGGCAGUGACCAAACAAGGGUAUUCGAUUAGGGUUUCCCAAGGAGGAAGAAGGUGACAUGUUCUUUUUCGGUUGGCGUUCUGACCAGGUAAGAUUACUGAAUUCAAGUUAUGUCUAGCAUGAUUACCUCAGCCCUCAUUCUUGGUUUAAUACUUGGAUUCAAUUAUGGUUGCGGUCUCAACAAGGAGUUAUCACGUUUUUGCUAUUCUAUUACCAGAAAUGGAUUGGAAACGAGGAUAUGUUGUUUGUAAUUGACAAAAUUUAUCAGCUUUAUUUAGUGUUAUAGAUGUUAAUACCUGGACCUUCUAAGUAAACAACCACCUGCUGUUGUUUCUUCGGUCUCGAGGAAUUGCAACCCUAGGAUGACAAAUUACAGGAGAAGACCGGUUGGAUACAUUUGCAGCGGAAGUUGAUAAUGGCUUUGGAUUCAUGAUGCUCGAGUAAUACAGGAAUUGUUUGAGAGGACAAGAUCAAAAGAAAAUGUCUUGGUGCCGAUUAUCAUUGCCGGCAAUCUACAUAUAUAGUGACGGUUGUUGGCGGUUGGUUUUGGAGGGAGAUACAACCGUUUGAAACGGUACUAUUUCUACCGCAAAAAAUGGAGGUUUUAUCAGUAUCAGGACAAUGGUGAAAUGUUUCCCACAUCGCUUCACAAUGAGAUAAUAAAUGAACCGGUUAGUUUGUUUUAAAACAUGUUUUUAUUCUAGAACGUUAGUGUUGCAAAAAUUAUAUCUGCAUAUGAUGGGUUGGAGUUGCGCCUUAAAGGACAUGGGUGUCUUUAUAAGCUUAUUGUUCGGACUAGCUGUGGUUGGGAUACUGUGGAUUCUAAGUAGCUUUUAACACCAUCAAAGACCAAUGGCAAUCAGAAAUUCUUGAACUGCAAACCGAAUUCGUGUCUAUGAUAUGCGAUGAAGAUUGAGGUUUUGCAAGUUGGUUAAAGGCUCGCAUGCUAGCUUAAUGAUUGCACAAUUGAUUGUUCUAUUAUCAUCAUUAUUUAUCGACACCAGAUAAACACCACAGUUAACCAAGGUAAAAGCACAAGAAUAUUUUUAUUAGAGGUGGUAAGAUGUGGGCAUGAUGACUUUUAACCUGCUAGGUCUAUUUGAUCUAUUUUUUUUUGUGAUUCGGCACAGCCCAAUUCGAUCCUUAUCUAAGCAGUUUUGAAACUGGUACCAAUAAUUUUUAUCAACUUAUUCCAUCAUAUAUACAAGAGACACUUUUAGGUGACCUGGCCAAUUUUUUUUCAAUUACAGCCUUGUAAAGGAAUUUUGCUUUUUGGACCCCUUGGUGCUGGUAAAACGAUGCUUGCAACUUGUGUAAAUUUUACUAACAUAUCAUUGUCAAGCGUUAUCUCAAAGUUUUGUAGUGGUUUGAUGAAGAAGUUAAGUAUGUUACAACAGUUUUCAGCCUGCUAGCACAUAACUCUUUGACUAGAGGUGGCAUUUUCCCACUGUGAACAAAUUUGCAUAUGAUACUAGAAGUUUGCUUAAUAAUGUUGAAUGAUUGAAUGAAUAUCUAAAUGGCAAAAUAGAUACUUUUUUAACAAGCA